rnacentral:rRNA from 1 species
ACUCCUACGGGAGGCAGCAGUGGGGAAUAUUGCACAAUGGGGGAAACCCUGAUGCAGCCAUGCCGCGUGUGUGAAGAAGGCCUUCGGGUUGUAAAGCACUUUCAGUAGGGAGGAAGGUAGUGUAGUUAACACCUGCAUAUUGAUCGUUAUCCUACAGAAGAAGCACCGGCUAACUCCGUGCCAGCAGCCGCGGUAAUACGGAGGGUGCGAGCGUUAAUCGGAAUUACUGGGCGUAAAGC